rnacentral:rRNA from 1 species
UACAGGGGGGGCAAGCGUUGUUCGGAAUUACUGGGCGUAAAGGGCUCGUAGGCGGCCAACUAAGUCCGACGUGAAAUCCCAAAGCUUAACUUUGGAACUGCGUCGGAUACUGGAUGGCUUGAAUUCGGGAGAGGGAUGCAGAAUUCCAGGUGUAGCGGUGAAAUGCGUAGAUAUCUGGAGGAAUACCGGUGGCGAAGGCGGCAUCCUGGACCGACAUUGACGCUGAGGAGCGAGAGCUAGGGGAGCAAACGGG